GACGAACGCUGGCGGCGUGCUUAACACAUGCAAGUCGAACGGAAAGGCCCUGCUUGCAGGGUACUCGAGUGGCGAACGGGUGAGUAACACGUGGGUGAUCUGCCCUGCACUUCGGGAUAAGCUUGGGAAACUGGGUCUAAUACCGGAUAGGACCGCACCUUAGUGUGUGUGGUGGAAAGUUUUUUCGGUGUAGGAUGAGCUCGCGGCCUAUCAGCCUGUUGGUGGGGUAAUGGCCUACCAAGGCGGCGACGGGUAGCCGGCCUGAGGGGGUGUACGGCCACAUUGGGACUGGGAUACGGGCCCGACUCCUACGGGGAGCAGGAGUGGGGAAUAUUGGACAAUGGGCGCGAGCCUGAUGCAGCGAAGCCGCGUGGGGGAUGAAGGCCUUCGGGUUGUAAACUCCUUUCGCUAGGGACGAAGCUUUUUGUGACGGUACCUAGAUAAGAAGCACCGGCUAACUACGUG
rnacentral:rRNA from 1 species